AGCGGCGAUCGGGUGAGUAACGCGUGAGCAAUCUACCUUAGUUACAGGGAUAGCCCGAGGAAACUCGGAUUAAUACCUGAUAUUCUUUACAUUUCGCAUGAAAUCAAAAGGAAAGGUCAGCCGAACUAAGAUGGGCUCGCGUUCUAUCAGCUAGUUGGUGAGGUAAAAGCUCACCAAGGCAACGACGGAUAGCUGGUCUGAGAGGACGAUCAGCCACACUGGGACUGAGACACGGCCCAGACUCCUACGGGAGGCUGCAGCAGGGAAUAUUGCGCAAUGAGCGAAAGCUUGACGCAGCGACACCGCGUGUGGGAUGACGGAUCUAGGUUUGUAAACCACUUUCAGGAGGGAAGAAAAUGACGGUACCUCCACAAGAAGCCCCGGCCAACUACGUGCCAGCAGCCGCGGUAAUACGUAGGGGGCGAGCGUUGUCCGGAUUUAUUGGGCGUAAAGAGCUCGUAGGCGGUUCAACAAGUCGGUCGUAAAAGUUCAGGGCUCAACCCUGAAAUGUCGAUCGAUACUGUUGUGACUAGGAUACGGUAGAGGUGAGUGGAAUUCCGAGUGUAGCGGUGAAAUGCGUAGAUAUUCGGAGGAACACCUAUUGCGAAGGCAGCUCACUGGGCCGCUAUCGACGCUGAGGAGCGAAAGCUAGGGGAGCAAACAGGAUUAGAUACCCUGGUAGUCCUAGCUGUAAACGAUGGAUACUAGACGUAGGAACAGGAUUGACGGUUUCUGUGUCGUAGCUAACGCGUUAAGUAUCCCGCCUGGGGAGUAC
rnacentral:rRNA from 1 species